rnacentral:lncRNA from 1 species
UAUUUUUUCAAAAAUCAAUACAUAAAUAAGCAAGAAAGCAAUACAUAGAUAGGGAGAUUGUCUUGACUGUCCAAAAAUAUUAUUGAAUUAAUUAACAUGGACUGUGGAGUGUAUAAUUUUCACCCGUGAGUCAUGAUGAAUUGCGAUGAUAAUCUCAAAAUAAAUUAAAAAAUAGAAAGCAAGGGAAGAGAGUGAACAAAUCAAGAUUUUCACCCGUGAGAUACAACAACACAUGAAAUUAUGCAGACGAAUUCAUGAGCAGGUGUAAAAACGACUCUGUGAUGAUAAAAAGUGAUCAAAAUCAUGCACUCAGUGACUUUAAACUUUCUUAAGCUAACCAAUCUGAGUAAUAAAAUUAUAAAAUUUAUCUCUGGUUUGGUCCACAGAAGAAGGACCUAAUUGAUUAAAUAUUAUAAUAAUACAUACGUACAGAUAUAUAUAUAUAUAUAUAUAAACUAUAUGAUAAAUUCGUAUGA